rnacentral:lncRNA from 1 species
UCAAAAGGAGCUAUCGAUUUCGUGUCUUUUGAUAAGAGGUGACUAAGUAGUUAUACAUAAUAUCCCUCAUAAAACUAUUCUGUUUUAACCUAGUUUCAAUCUAACAAGUUUUUUAAACAUGCAGGAAAAUGGCAGCAGUAACAGUGGCAAUGUGGCAAUGACAGCAGUACGAGCGGCACAAACGGCUAAAAAUAUAGGAAGUGUGGCAAAAACGGCUACAAAAACAGUAAAAACAACAAAAAAAGCGAUCAAAGCCGUAAAGGGUAUAAAGAAAUUGACAAAAAGAGGAAGAAGAGCAGCAAAACGUGAAAAAAAAAGAGCAGAAGAGGCAAAACAAACUGCAAAAGGAACAACCGCGGGAACAACAGCUGGGGCAAUAGAAGGAGCAAAAAAAGGAGCUAUUGCCGGAAAGGUAUCUGGAGGAGCAGCUGGGACAGCAGCUGCAAUUGCAGCUGUCAAACUAUUAGGAAAACUUGACAAAGCAAUUGCUGAAGCUAUAGGAGCAGAUGUUGGAGAAAAAGCAGGAGAAGAAGCAGGAAGAAAGGCGGGAAAAGAGGCAGGGAAAAUUGUAGGAAAGAAAAUUGGAAAAGAAGCUGGAAAAAUCGCUGGAAAAAUUGCCGGAGGAAAAUUAGGUGAGAAAGCAGGAGCAAAAGCAGGAGAAAAAGCCGGAGAAAAGGAAGGUGGGGAAGCAGGAGAAGAAGCUGGUGCAAAAGAAGGUAAAGAACUCGGAAAGAUUGCCGGUGCAGCAGCAGCUUUAGAAAGAGAUGAUGAAUAAACAAGAGAAUGAGUUCUCAAACUACUGAUCGACUACUUGAAUAAUAAUAACAUUCUUUAUUCCAAUCUUCCUUGUCAUAACAAUACACACUUUUUUUAAACCAGUACAAAACUCAAUCAAAUCAAAUCAACAAAAAUAAAAAUAUUUUUCAGACCAAACAGAAAUACAUAAUUGACUUAUUUAGUUUAUCAUGAGAAAUAGUAGUUAGGGCAAUUGUAGGAGUGAUUCGCACGGGGACGGUGCCGUUGUUGGUUGAGGGGGUGGUGGAGGCAAUGGUGGUUGUUUAAAGAAAACUGAAUCAUCAUACAUUAGAAAGCAACUAUGUAAUAGAUAUGCUGCUCCAGUUGCUAACCCACACUGAUCAGGAAGAACGGGGCGUGGAACGGGACAGGUCAGGUACCUUGAUCUCCUGCCCCGGACCCGGUGACCGGGGUGUGGAACGGGAUAGACCCGGGGCAACCCAUCUGGAAUUAUAUAAAAAAAUUAUAAAUUAUAAAAAAAUAAUUAAAAGAGUAAACCUAAAAUUUAAAAUAGGUAAACUUUUUUAGUUUUUACCUUAAUUCUUAAAAAAUUUAAUUCUAAUAAUCCUAUUAAUGGGUAUCAAAUUAAGCUCGGGCUUGCGAGCCUAACGAGCCGAGCCCGAGCCUGAAGGUUAAGCUCGGUGGGAUCGGUAAAAAUUAUAAAAAAGUAAAAAAAUAUUAUAUUUAGAGAGAAAAACGGUGUAGCAUAGAUGGUAAAACGUUUGUUUUUUUUCGUCGACACGAACACGUCUUGUGUCAAAAAAAUUUAAUACGAAAUGAGGAAUCAAACCCAUAACCUCUUGCCUGUUGAAAAAUUGUUUUACCAACUAUACUACGUAUUUAUUUAGUUUUAAUAUAAUAUUUUUGUAAUUAAUAAUCGUUUUAUAUUUAAUAUUAUUAUAGUUGAUAUUUAAUAUUAUUAUAUUUGAUAUUACUAUAUUAGAUAUUUAAUAUUUUUAUAAUAUAAUAUUAUAUUUAAUUAAUAGUCGUGUUAUCGGGUCAUAUAAUCGUGUCGUGUCAAUUUAUGUUUCGUGUAAUCGUGUCGUGUUUUUAAAGAAAACACUAAACCGAUACUAUUAUUAAUCAUAUCAAAAUUUUCGACACUAAACCAACACUAUUAUAAACGUGUCGUAUUCGUGUCGUGUCAUGUUUUUUUACGAAAUGUGUCUGUUAUUGCCACCCUUAGUUCAAUCCCCAAUGUCUCCAAAUAAUUCGUUCUUUUAAUUUCGAGCCCAGACUCGCGAGCUCGAGCCCGAGCCUGGAAAGUCUUUGACGAGCCGAGCCUGGAAAGUCUUUGACGAGCCGAGCCUGAGCCCAGAUGAUACCUUAACGAGCCGAGCCCGAACCCGGCUCUAUAAGUAAAAGCUCGGCUCUGCUCGUUUGACACCCUACCUAUAUUUAAUAUAAUAUAAUUUAUUAUAAAAAAUUUAAAAUUAUUUUUUUAAAACCAGACGACCCGCCCGGGUUUCGCUGUAUUAAGUUCUUGUUGCGGAGGCACCGUCGUCGACAAUCUCGUGACUUCCCCUAGUCUGGGACGAUCGAAGUGUUGUGGUGUUGCCAGAUUGGAGCUAGGGUUUUUCGCGCAAGGAAGAAGGGGGCGUUUACCCGCUCUAACUAUCACUAUGGAGGAGAGAAUAGAUUUGCGUGUAUUUUUCAUUAAUCUCAGUAAAAGAUUAACUUGUUGUAUUAAGUUAAUUUUGAAUGUUAAUCACAAUGUUUAUUUAUUACAAAAUUAGUUAAUAAGACUCAUAACUAACUAAUUAAACUAAUUGAAGAUCCGGCCCAUUUGUAAUUGAUCCAAUAAGGAUUUAUUUGAAACAUUUAUCUUUCGUCCUUUGACUUUUUCAAUUCUUUAUAAAUGAGUCUUGUAACAAUUGUCUGCAUAAUAAAACUUAAACCAAAAUUAGUUUCUAUAUUAAAAACAACUAUUCAUUACAUUUAGGUCCUGGUAACGUUUUUUGAAACUUUUGUAAACAACACCUUGUUAGUUAAUAACCGGUAGUUUAUUUAGUUAUACCAGAACCUUCUAAUUGUUUUAUUUCACUUAGGUCCUCAGUUUUAUUUCUUGGCAAAAUUGAUGUUUUUACCCUGGAUUUUCAAUAUAUUCUUAUACGCUGUGCCUCACCCACCCUGGAAUAUGACCGGGGCAACGAGGCAAAAUAUCUGCCCCGCCCCCGGUUACCACCGGGGCACAGAACAGGGCGGGAUCGGGGAGAGGUAGGGUGUCGACUAAAGCUAGGCUCGUUAAGCUCGGGCUUGCGAGCCUAACGAUCUCGAGCCAAAGCACAAGCUCGAUAAGCUUGUCGAGCUCGAGCUUGUACUUUUCAAACUCAGCUCGUUAAAGGCUUUUUAAUAAUUAAAUAAAAUAUAGAUAUUACGAGUUAUAGAUAUUAAUUGAUAAUGACUAAUGAAUAAAUUAUAAGAAAACUUAAAUAAAAAUUUAAAUCAAGUAAACAUAGAUAGUUUUUAGAUUUUUUUUUCAAUUUACAAAAUUGCAAAUUAAAUUUCAAGUUCGAGUCCGAACCGAGCCUGAGCUCGGCCAAACAGGCUCGACGAGCUCGAGCCCGAACCUGGACAAUUACUUAACGAGCCGAGUCCUUAGCUUUAUAAGCAAAUGCUCGACUCGACUCGUUUGACACCCUAGGGAGAGGGAAAGAGAAGAAAUUAAAUGAUUUAGAACUUAAGAAAGGUCGCUAAAAAUUUAUGGGUCCCUCUCGAGCCUCGAAUCGAUAUAUCAUACCAACACUUCACAAGAAAACAAAUUUUUAGCGAUAACUAGGGAGUCAAAUAAAGCCCGGCUUAGCGGGCUCGACUCGUUUAAGCUCGGGCUCGCGAGUCCAACGAGCCAAGUCCGAGCCCAAGUCCGUCUGUUAAGCUCGAGUGAGCUCGUUGGUAGGUAUAAAAAAGUAAAAAAAUAUUAAAUUUAAAGAGAAUAAAGGUAUAACAUAGUUGGUAAAAGGUUUGUUUAUUAUUUAAGAGGUCAUGGGUUCAAUCCCCUAUGUUUCUAAAUAAUUAUUUCUUUUAAUUCGAGCACAGAAAGUAUAAAAAACUAAAAAAAUAUUAAAUUUAAAGAAAAUAAAGGUACAGCACAAAUAGUAAAACGUUUGUUAAGCAUGUGAGAGAUCACAGGUUCAAUCUUUCAUGUCUCCAUAAAUUUUUUUUUUAAGUCGAGCUUGGGCUCCCGAGCCCGAACCUGGAAAAUCUCUGACGAGCCCGAGCCCGAGCUCAGAUGAUAUCUUAACGAGCCGAGUCCGACUCUAUAAGCAAAAGCUCGGUUCGGUUCGGCUCGUUUGACACCCUAGCGAUAAUUAAUUCGAUCUUAAGUUUGACGACCCUUCAUAAGGAAGCCGUCACUGAUCCAAUAAAAAACCAUAAUUAAGAAUGGCAUUUAUAAACGGUCGUUAGUUUCAUGGAUUUAUCAUAAAAUCAUUUUUCAAAGUCGUUAAAUGUUUAUUUGUUAUUGAUGAAGAAUAAUACCAUUCACUUAUUAUUAUUAUUAUUUUUUUUUUACAAUUAUGUACAAAACGAGAUUAAACCAUGAACUCUCAACAACUUUAAUAAAAUAAUAAUUACCAUUUUAUUAGUUAUGAAAUGUGUUAUUUUUUUUUCAAUAAAGUUUAGAAAUGGUCAAUGUCUUCCUCCUAAUUGAGUGCAUGCAUUUAAAACAUGAUUGAAAGUCUUGCACAAAUGAUUCAAAUAUUGAAUUUUCUACAAAGUCAAAAAAGAUGUUCUCAUUCUCUUUUCUAUAAAUUAAGAUGCCUUGAUCGUUAGAAAUCAAUAACUGAAAAUCUCACAGACAUCAGAGUUUUGUCAAAAGAAGCUAUCGUUUUUGUGUCUUUUGAUAAGAGGUAACUAAGUAGUUAUACAUAAUAUCCUUCAUAAAACUACUUUGUUUUAACCUAGUUUCAAUCUAACAAGUUCUUUAAACAUGCAGGAAAAUGGCAGCAGUAACAGCAGUAACAAUGGCAAUGACAGCAGUACGAGUGGCACAAACGGCAAAAAAUAUAGG